AUGGCGGAACCCAAGGCGGCCAAGAGCAAGUCGUCGUCCAAGUCCAAGAAACACCACCACCAGGGGGACGGCGAGGCGUCCAAGAAGGCGACCAAGGCGAAGGCCGAGGCCACGGCCACGCCGUCGCCGGCGCCGGCGCCGUCGCUCGACGCGCACUUCAAGCCGUGCGCCGACGUGGCGGGCCUCCGCUUCGGCGCGCAGCUCGUCACGCGCGCGCUCACCGUGCGGCGCGCCGGCCCGCUCGAGCUGCCGCACCUGCUCCGAGUCGUCGUCCCCGACGCCGGCGCCGGGCAGAGCACGAAGGGCAAAGGGGCGCAGCCGCUGUCGUUCGCGCCGACGACGACCGCGUACAUCCCGACCAACUUCGCCAUCCUGGCGCACCACGCGUGGCACACGCUCACGCUCGGGCUCGGCACCAAGAACUCCAAGGCCGCCGUCUUCGUCUUCGAGUCCGCCGCCAUGAAGGCCGCCGCCGACGCCGCCUGGCCGCAGGUGCUGCCGCUCGGGGACGUCGGGAAGCGCCUUCUCCGCGCCGCCCCGGGCGCGCCGGAGAUGGCCCGCUUCAAGUUCCGCAAGGGCUGCGUCACCUUCUACGUCUACGCCGUCCGGACCGCCCGCGCGCGCGGGUUCGCGCGCGCCGAUGAGCUCAGGGCAGUCAUCGAGGCCGUCGCCAAGCUCAAGGACUUCUUGGACCACACUGCCAUGCUCGCGCUCCCGGGUCAGAGGAGCAUUGACGCCGCCGCUCCGGUCGGCAUCGUGCAUUGA
rnacentral:rRNA from 1 species